rnacentral:ncRNA from 1 species
GGGAGCCGGAUGAGCUGAGAAGUUCAAGUCCGGUUCUGAGAGAGACUUGGGGUGAAAUUCCCCAGGUCUACUUACC